rnacentral:rRNA from 1 species
GAUGAACGCUGGCGCGUGCUUAAUGCAUGCAAGUCGAACGAGAACCUUUUUGUAGGUAACUACAGAGAGACUUCUAGUGGCGAACGGGUGAGUAACACGUGAGAAACCUGCCCCGAAGACCGGGAUAGCCCAUGGAAACGUGGAUUAAUACCGGAUACCCUCACGGAAUCGCAUGGUUCUGUGAGGAAAUGCUCCGGCGCUUUGGGAUGGUCUCGCGGCCUAUCAGCUUGUUGGUGAGGUAACGGCUCACCAAGGCACUGACGGGUAGCUGGUCUGAGAGGACGAUCAGCCACACUGGGACUGAGACACGGCCCAGACUCCUACGGGAGGCAGCAGCAGGGAAUAUUGCACAGUGGGCGCAAGCCUGAUGCAGCGACGCCGCGUGAGGGAUGAAGGCUUUCGGGUUGUAAACCUCUUUCAGUGGGGAAGAAGCGCAAGUGACGGUACCCACACAAGAAGGCCCGGCCAACUACGUG